rnacentral:rRNA from 1 species
GUYUUUUUGAUUUUAUUUAAAGUYUAACCUGCCCAUUGAAUAUUAUUAAAAGGCUGCAGUAUUUUGACUGUACAAAGGUAGCAUAAUCAUUAGUUUUUUAAAUGGAAACUUGUAUGAAUGGUUGAAUGAAAUAUUAACUAUUUUAAUUAAAUAAUUGAAUUUUAUUUUUUAAUUAAAAAGUUAAAAUAAAUUUAAUAGACAAGAAGACCCUAUAGAGUUUUAUAUAAUUUAUAUAUUUAUUAAUAUUAUUUGGAUUUAUUUUAUUUAAAUAUAUUAAUAUAUUUUAUUGGGGUGAUAGUAAAAUUUAAUUAACUUUUAUUUUUAAUUUACAUAAAUUUAUGAUUAUUUUAUUGAUCCAUUAUUAAUGAUUAAAAGAUUAAAUUACCUUAGGGAUAACAGCGUAAUUUUUUUUUUAAGUUCUUAUUAAUAAAAGAUUUUGCGACCUCGAUGUUGGAUUAAGAUUAAUUUUAGGUGCAGAAGUUUAAAUUUUAAGUCUGUUCGACUUUUAAAUUCUU